AGUUAACCCCCACUACCUCCCUCUUCCUCCCGCACGCUCGUGCCCCACCUCCCCCACCCGCAACCCGCGAGCUCACUCGAGCCGCCGCCCACCUUCUCCGGCGCGGCGAACCCGAGCCGCCCCCACCCUGCCCACCUUCCUCCUCGGCCACCUACCCCGCCACCCGACCAACCUCGAGCGCCGCCGCCUCCCAUCCUCCCUGGUCCGGCCAGCGCGCCACCGCCUCCCAUCCUCUCUGGUCCGGCUAGCGCGCCGCUGCCCACGCGCCACGGCUGGUGCCGCGCAGCCACCAGAAACCAACCCUUCAAGGCGCGCCCUCCACACCGCCACGCACUGCGGCGUCCAGGCAAAAAUGUGCACCGCCGUUGAUCCCUUUUGGAUCUCGCCCGUGGCGCUCCUUCUUCCCUCAACUCCGCUAAGAUCCGGCUAUGUACCCUCGACCUGGUCUCCCAUCGACAACACCACCGCCGUGCCACGUCGCCACCUCGACUAAGCCAUGGUCAAACACUUCAAGAUCGGUCCCGUCGGCCAUCGCUACACCGGGACGGGAUCCCCAUCCUCUCCGCUCUCUUCUCCGUUGACGGUGAGCGGGUGAGCACCCCUUUGCCCCCACCUCAUCUGCUGGCGAGCACAGCUGGUAGCCGCCACCAUAGAUCCAACCCCCGUUGUCCCCCUCCGGCUGCUUUCUUCCCCGACGGUGAGCUCACUCUUCAGCAGAAGAAAAAUCGCCCACCCUCUACUCCUCGCUGCUCUCCUCUGCAUGGCUCAAGGGAAGAUGGUUUCCGCAAUUUGGUGGGAUGCCGUGUUGCAUUAUUUUUGCAUUUCCAUCGUCAUGCAGUUUGGACAGCGAGCCUUCCUCCGUGGCGCGUGCGUGUGUGCAAUCCGCGGCGUGUGUGUGCAGUGCAACAUGUCUAAUCAUGCAGUCCGCGACCGCUGUCGUGCAGCUCAUACAAGCCCGCAAUGAAGUUUCGUGCUUGUGUUCGUGCUGUUCGAUGAACACAAGUGCACUGCAGCUCCUGGACAGUGGACUGCGGAAGGUGCGGUGUGGUUGACGCACAGUUGAAGUUUGCCUGGGUUGUCGUUGUAGUACGGCUAGGUGUCGAAAGUUGUUUUUUCGAUUUUUCACGUUUUUAGAGACUACAGUUCAUUAUUAAAAAUGUUUUAAAAAGUUCCAUCCAGAGCACUCUAUUUUAGUAAAUGACUUUAAAAGGUAUUUGCAGCUCA